CAGAAAUAAAGUGCUCAGAUUUUUCAUAAUUUUUCGAAAAUAGUUUCACUUCUCAAGUAUACCAAUAAAAGCUCAAAUCCUCUACCGAAGUCAAAGCGAACACAAUUUUGAGCUUCUUCAUCGUUGAGCUUCUUUGAGCUUCUUCAUGCUUGUUUAAAGCAGCCAUAGCAACGUUGACCUCUCCCCAGCCUUUGGCUGUGGGAGAGCAAAAUUUUCAAGCAGAUAGGAUCAACAAUCCCCCUAAAUUGACUUAUGCAGCAAGUGUUUCAAAAGAAAUUGUGCGACAAAACCAAAAUAUAGUGCUAUGUCCAGUCAGAUUUGAACACGGAGAACCAUUUAUUGAAUUCACCACAGAUGAGGUGAAAGAAUUCGUCAUAGAGGAAGGUUUACACCAAGCAGUCAUCAUCAAGUUUUCUUAUGGAAAACUAGAACUUCACGAUCUCAGAAGAACUUUUUCAAAUCAGUUCGAUGUGAAAGGAUCUUGUAACAUCGGGCAGCUGGAGUUUAGACACAUACUGGUUGUAAGCACCAAGGACAUGAUGAAAAUUCAUGUCGAUCGAUGAAAGGGAGAAAUAAAUAUGCAGAGGAAAAAUCAGAGGAAACACAUCGAACUGAUUUGGACCAAAUUUCUACAGAAAAGCUUCAGGGAGAUGCAAGGCAAUUGUUGAAUGCAAUAAGAGAUGCCAACCACGUGAAAGAGAGUGACAAUGUCACUCAGACACAGGGCAUGGGCAGUGACACUGCUCCUAUUCAGAAUACGUUGAAGGGCAAGGCUAAUGCUACAGGAACUAGUAUGAUCCUCACAGGUCAAAAGCAAAACUGUGCAUGAUGAAGCAUGUCAAUAAUGAGAAUGUUGUUCAAAGCAAAACUGGGCAUGAGAUAAUUACAUUGAAUAAUGUAACUCAUCAGAAUCAGAAGACUAAUAUUUUGGCACAGGUGGAGAUCGAAGAUGAUCAGACAAACAAGUUUCAAACUAUAAACAGAUUUGCAGUUCUAGAAAUGGAACAAUGUGAUGCAAAUGAAGGAAAUCAUAUGAUGGGGAAAGGAGGAACAUAUGCUCUAAAUAACAUAGCUAAUAUGGAGCCAAAUGGGAAGGUAAUUGUAGCAGCAGAUGUUACCAAUACAAUAACAACUCUUACUGUCAGACACACGGAUUAUCAAAAGUGACGAAGCAGUUAAAUCCAAAUGCUACUGCUUUUAAGCUUAUUGAUAAAGAGAAUUUAAACCAAUCACAGUCACAACAAGAACCUACUGCACAAUGGGCUAAUAAGGUUUUUGGAAGCAAGUUAGUUACCACUAAUCAAUCGUGUCAAGAUAUCCCAUCUCAGUCAAUGGAUACAUAUGGUAUAUCUGAACAUGUGAAUGAGAAAGAUAGAUUAGCUUUGACUAGCGGCAAACUAUGGGAGGAUCAAGCAGAAGAAGACUCCGAAGAAGUUCAAAUUGAAGAACUCACAAGUUUGAUAAAUGAGGGGCAAGAUUCUAAUUUCUACAUUGUCUUAGUUUAUCAUUUUCAAAGCAUCAUCACUUGUAAUAGCGUCAUAGAGUGUGUUAUAAACUCUAUGGCGAUCAUAGAGUACUUGGUACUUUCAAGUUCCUAUUUUUUACAUGCUUGCUAGAAGAUGAGGCUUUAUCUUUGCCUCAAUAGGAUUGGUAAGGUAAGGUU